rnacentral:misc_RNA from 1 species
GUGAAUCAUCAAAUUUUUGAACGCAUAUUGCACUCUCUGGUAUUCCGGAGAGUAUGCCUGUUUGAGGGUAAUUAAAAAGAAUCUUUAACCAAUUUUUUUGGUCAAGGGAUUUGAGUUUUCCGCGUUUAUAGCGUUAGCUUGAAUUAAAUGGUCAAGUCUCUUUUUAGUCGGGACGCUUAAUAU